CAGCCGCCGCGGGAAUACGUAGGGUGCAAGCGUUAAUCGGAAUUACUGGGCGUAAAGCGUGCGCAGGCGGUUAUAUAAGACAGAUGUGAAAUCCCCGGGCUCAACCUGGGAACUGCAUUUGUGACUGUAUAGCUAGAGUACGGCAGAGGGGGAUGGAAUUCCGCGUGUAGCAGUGAAAUGCGUAGAUAUGCGGAGGAACACCGAUGGCGAAGGCAAUCCCCUGGGCCUGUACUGACGCUCAUGCACGAAAGCGUGGGGAGCAAACAGGAUUAGAUACCCCCGUAGUCCCUGUCUCUUAUCC
rnacentral:rRNA from 1 species